rnacentral:rRNA from 1 species
GACGAACGCUGGCGGCGUGCUUAACACAUGCAAGUCGAACGAUGAAGCCUAGCUUGCUAGGUGGAUUAGUGGCGAACGGGUGAGUAAUACGUGAGUAACCUACCUUUAACUCUGGGAUAAGCCCGGGAAACUGGGUCUAAUACCGGAUACGACCAAUCUCCGCAUGGGGUGUUGGUGGAAAGCGUUAUGUAGUGGUUAUAGAUGGGCUCACGGCCUAUCAGCUUGUUGGUGAGGUAACGGCUCACCAAGGCGACGACGGGUAGCCGGCCUGAGAGGGUGACCGGCCACACUGGGACUGAGACACGGCCCAGACUCCUACGGGAGGCAGCAGUGGGGAAUAUUGCACAAUGGGCGCAAGCCUGAUGCAGCGACGCCGCGUGAGGGAUGACGGCCUUCGGGUUGUAAACCUCUGUUAGCAGGGAAGAAGAGAGAUUGACGGUACCUGCAGAGAAAGCGCCGGCUAACUACGUGCCAGCAGCCGCGGUAAUACGUAGGGCGCGAGCGUUGUCCGGAAUUAUUGGGCGUAAAGAGCUUGUAGGCGGUUUGUCGCGUCUGCUGUGAAGGCCGGGGCUUAACUCCGUGUAUUGCAGUGGGUACGGGCAGACUAGAGUGCAGUAGGGGAGACUGGAAUUCCUGGUGUAGCGGUGGAAUGCGCAGAUAUCAGGAGGAACACCGAUGGCGAAGGCAGGUCUCUGGGCUGUAACUGACGCUGAGAAGCGAAAGCAUGGGGAGCGAACAGGAUUAGAUACCCUGGUAGUCCAUGCCGUAAACGUUGGGCACUAGGUGUGGGGAACAUUCCACGUUUUCCGCGCCGUAGCUAACGCAUUAAGUGCCCCGCCUGGGGAGUACGGCCGCAAGGCUAAAACUCAAAGAAAUUGACGGGGGCCCGCACAAGCGGCGGAGCAUGCGGAUUAAUUCGAUGCAACGCGAAGAACCUUACCAAGGCUUGACAUAUACUGGACCGCAUCAGAGAUGGUGUUUCCCUUCGGGGCUGGUAUACAGGUGGUGCAUGGUUGUCGUCAGCUCGUGCCGUGAGAUGUUGGGUUAAGUCCCGCAACGAGCGCAACCCUCGUUCUAUGUUGCCAGCACGUAAUGGUGGGGACUCAUAGGAGACUGCCGGGGUCAACUCGGAGGAAGGUGGGGAUGACGUCAAAUCAUCAUGCCCCUUAUGUCUUGGGCUUCACGCAUGCUACAAUGGCCGGUACAGAGGGUUGCGAUACUGUGAGGUGGAGCUAAUCCCUAAAAGCCGGUCUCAGUUCGGAUUGGGGUCUGCAACUCGACCCCAUGAAGUCGGAGUCGCUAGUAAUCGCAGAUCAGCAACGCUGCGGUGAAUACGUUCCCGGGCCU